rnacentral:rRNA from 1 species
GACGAACGCUGGCGGCGUGCUUAACACAUGCAAGUCGAACGGAAAGGCCCUGCUUUUGUGGGGUGCUCGAGUGGCGAACGGGUGAGUAACACGUGAGUAACCUGCCCUUGACUUUGGGAUAACUUCAGGAAACUGGGGCUAAUACCGGAUAGGAGCUCCUGCUGCAUGGUGGGGGUUGGAAAGUUUCGGCGGUUGGGGAUGGACUCGCGGCUUAUCAGCUUGUUGGUGGGGUAGUGGCUUACCAAGGCUUUGACGGGUAGCCGGCCUGAGAGGGUGACCGGCCACAUUGGGACUGAGAUACGGCCCAGACUCCUACGGGAGGCAGCAGUGGGGAAUAUUGCACAAUGGGCGGAAGCUUGAUGCAGCAACGCCGCGUGCGGGAUGACGGCCUUCGGGUUGUAAACCGCUUUCGCCUGUGACGAAGCGUGAGUGACGGUAAUGGGUAAAGAAGCACCGGCUAACUACGUGCCAGCAGCCGCGGUGAUACGUAGGGUGCGAGCGUUGUCCGGAUUUAUUGGGCGUAAAGGGCUCGUAGGUGGUUGAUCGCGUCGGAAGUGUAAUCUUGGGGCUUAACCCUGAGCGUGCUUUCGAUACGGGUUGACUUGAGGAAGGUAGGGGAGAAUGGAAUUCCUGGUGGAGCGGUGGAAUGCGCAGAUAUCAGGAGGAACACCAGUGGCGAAGGCGGUUCUCUGGGCCUUUCCUGACGCUGAGGAGCGAAAGCGUGGGGAGCGAACAGGCUUAGAUACCCUGGUAGUCCACGCUGUAAACGGUGGGUGCUAGGUGUGGGGUCCAUUCCACGGGUUCCGUGCCGUAGCUAACGCUUUAAGUACCCCGCCUGGGGAGUACGGCCGCAAGGCUAAAACUCAAAGGAAUUGACGGGGCCCCGCACAAGCGGCGGAGCAUGCGGAUUAAUUCGAUGCAACGCGUAGAACCUUACCUGGGUUUGACAUGGAUCGGGAGUGCUCAGAGAUGGGUGUGCCUCUUUUGGGGUCGGUUCACAGGUGGUGCAUGGCUGUCGUCAGCUCGUGUCGUGAGAUGUUGGGUUAAGUCCCGCAACGAGCGCAACCCUUGUUCACUGUUGCCAGCACGUUAUGGUGGGGACUCAGUGGAGACCGCCGGGGUCAACUCGGAGGAAGGUGGGGAUGACGUCAAGUCAUCAUGCCCCUUAUGUCCAGGGCUUCACGCAUGCUACAAUGGCUGGUACAGAGAGUGGCGAGCCUGUGAGGGUGAGCGAAUCUCGGAAAGCCGGUCUCAGUUCGGAUUGGGGUCUGCAACUCGACCUCAUGAAGUCGGAGUCGCUAGUAAUCGCAGAUCAGCAACGCUGCGGUGAAUACGUUCCCGGG